AAUCGUUUAAACAGUCGAACCUCGUCCGACAACAGCCAUGGCGGCCGCCAGCAGUAAUUUGACGUUCCUCGGCAUCAUCAUUUCGGUUUGAUCUGGUUUAAACUGCUUUGUUCCGCCAUUUUGCCUUCGAGGUGUCCCUUCUUGACAGCUGCGGUCAUGAUGAACUAGCGAAUCUGCGUCCAAUCCAUCACCAGAACGCUGAUAUCCAUAGACUGGAUUUCGACACUCCACAAGACACCCAUCUAGGCAACACUUCUGAAUCCCGGGACACUCCCUGUCUGUCCGGCACGACACCAGGCAAAUAGUUCCAACACCAG